AGACAUGGGCUCCGGUGUUUAGGAGCAGACGAGGAGCGCUCGCUGCAGACCGAGACCAGGAGACCAGGAGACCAGGAGAGAGGAGGAGGUGGAGAUACUGACCUCUGCUGUGCUUCAGGCUCCGGGUCUCUGUGUCUGAUGAGGAGCUCUGGACGAGGACGAACACCAGAUCAUCACACCACGAGCAGAACCACAGCGGAGACACAGACACACAGGUAACAGAAACAUGAAGUCUGAAGAACACCAGAUCAUCACACCACGAGCAGAACCACAGCGGAGACACAGCGGAGAGACACAGACCAGACCAGAAGUUUUCAGAACAGAUCAAAGACGUCAAGAUGGAUGAACAUCUUAAAAAGGGACAACUCCAGCACAGACAGAGACGACAGUGUGAUGCGCAUGAAGCUGAAGGAGGACAGGAGGAGCGAGAGGAGGAGUAUCAGAGAGCCAGAGAGAGGAUCUUCGCUGAUGUCAGAUACGGCACAGGGUUUAGACACCUUCCCGCUGGAUAAAAGGAGAAUCUGAGCGUCCCCUCGGUCACAUGAUGCUGGUCCAGCAGACCUCGCUCCUGACCCCUGCGCCUCCAGCGCUUCAGAGAGGAGACGUCCUGCCCUCGACGGGACAGAAACAGCUGUGACACACAUCCAUCACCAGAGAGCAACACCUGCAUCCACUAAUGAAGAGAUGCAUGUUCUCCGAGCCAGUUCCCUGUGUCUGGACAGCUGUGACGGAUGGGUUCAGAGUCACCCCGCAGCAGACAGGUUCCCAAACUGAUGGCAGAACAUGAAGCAGGCGUCAGCACGGAUGCUCCAGUAUCCGUCAGGUGAACUGCAUUCUGGGAGAUGAGUGGAGAUGUAUCAGAGACCCAAACUAUCACAGUUAUCAUCACAGGAUUGGUCAAGCGUGCUGCAGAUGUUUGAGAAGUACUGACACACACACACACACACACACACACACACACACACACACACACACACACACACACACACACACACACAGCUGUAUGAUCACAGAGAGGUGUGCAGAUCUACACACAAGCACAGCAAACCUCAGUCUUUUUAUCACAUUUUAAAAUCCACUUUUUAUCAGAUUAAUUGCUAUUAGAUUUUUUCCUCAAACUGUACAGCUCUACUACAGAUGCUGUUUGAUUAUAUUUUAUUUUUAAGGUAUUUUACUCAUUUUUGCAGCACUGCACUAGCAACACCAAGGUCACGGGUUCGAUUCCUAUGAAUGCAUGAUCGGAUCAGAUUUCACUUUAAAUACAGUGUUAGUCACUCAAAAGAGCUGAGAGCGUUACAGUGACAUUCAACAAUAAAACAUGUAUGCACUGAUUUCCAGAACAGAUGUGGAGUGUCAUUAGAAUAAAAACAGAAACUGGACGGAAUAAUGAAUCAGAAACUGGUGUAAAAACUGCUGAAUUCAGAACGGUCUUCCAUGUGUCUGCUGUCCAAUGUUCACAUAUAUUAUAAUAAUGAAUUCAGACUGAUUUCCUCCUGUGCUGAAAGAGUCUGGUCGGGUGUAAAGCGCUCUAUCUGUGCGGUCAGGAAGCGGCCGUCUCUCGGGACUGGACUUCAGUAGGUCACGCUGGAGAUGAUUUAUGAGGACAGUCGUGCAGCUGGUGUUAAUAUAACUCAGUGUUCCCGAGAGGACAGAGAUCUGACCGCAGCACAUCCUUCAUGAAGCUGCAGCACAGUACCGCUAUCUCUAGUCUGCUUCUCUCUGUGUGUGUGUGUGUCUUCAGUUUCCUGACAGUCCAAUCAUUGCACAUGUGUUUAUCUGUGAUCAGAUUGUGUUCCUGAGGGUGAUCUGUCCCUGUAAAGCACUGAUCUCAUCUCUGGUGAGAGCUGACUGUAGGUGACCUGCUCAUGUGUUCCUCUGUUCCUCUGUGAGGUUCAUGUCUCCUCCAGGAGCUGAUCCACCGCACCACAGCACCUGCCGCUCGCAACCGUGAUCAGGUACAGCCCCAUCCUCCAGAAGACUAUUGAGGCAGUGUUCACAUCAGUCCUAUUUUAGCAUCAUUUGAGAUAUUAUUAUAGCUUUUAUAUUUAAUAUAGAGUCAGUGUUUAAGUAAUUGUGUAUCAGUCUCAUCAUCAGAGCAGGUGAUGUCCUGUCUCGUGUGUGUGUGUGUGUGUGUGUGUGUGUGUGUGUGUGUGUGUGUGUGUGUGUGUGUGUGUGUGUGUGUGUGUGUGUGUGCAAAUAAACGCAGUGUUUCUGAAAUGUUCAUGUUCUGAGGCAGAUCAGGCCCGGCGCCACAAGGGGGCAAAAGGGAGCAAUGCCCCCUCAGAUCUGACUUGUGCCCCCUCUGUUUAAUUUUUGUAUUCAUGGUUAAAAAUAAAAUGUUCAACCUUUUGAGUUAAAUAAUAAUUUAACCUUAUCCCCAUGGGAUUCAGAAUGUUCAGUGUUGUGACUCGUGACAUCAUCACUAACAGAUUCAAACGUCAUCGCGUUGGGUGGCGCUGAGCCAGAGACGGACCAUAGACAGUAAAAGAAAUGGACACAGCGACCCCAUUGGAGCUCAAUUGAGACAA